UGAGGAAUAUUGGUCAAUGGGCGCGAGCCUGAACCAGCCAAGUAGCGUGAAGGAUGAAGGUCCUAUGGAUUGUAAACUUCUUUUAUAGCAGAAUAAAGUGACCCACGUGUGGGUUUUUGUAUGUAUGCUAUGAAUAAGGAUCGGCUAACUUCGUGCCAGCAACCGCGGUAAUACGGAGGAUCCGAGCGUUAUCCGGAUUUAUUGGGUUUAAAGGGUGCGUAGGCGGAAAGAUAAGUCAGCCUGUGAAAGUUUGCGGCUCAACCGUAAAAUUGCAGUUGAUACUGUUUUUCUUGAGUGUACAUAAGGUAGGCGGAAUUCGUGGUGUAGCGGUGAAAUGCUUAGAUAUCACGAAGAACUCCGAUUGCGAAGGCAGCUUACCGGGGUACAACUGACGCUGAUGCACGAAAGUGUGGGUAUCAAACA
rnacentral:rRNA from 1 species